rnacentral:lncRNA from 1 species
UGACUCGAAAUAAUGAAACCUUCAUAAGCUAAUUGGUAGCUUAAGAUGACUACAAUCAAAUAGAAUGGUUGACUUUAAAGGAACCAUUUUUGACGUAGUCUUAGUUUCAAUUAAUUCGAAGAUUGCUAGCUACAACUAAAUGGUGAUUCAAUGUUUUGACAUAAUAUGGGUUUCCGAAACCAUUAUUAAGAUAGUCUUGAUAAUAUAUAUAUAAAACUAUAAUCACAAGACAUGUAAGUUGUAGAGAUCCAUCCAUCAUGGAUCUUAGCAAGUUAGUGGGAGCUAUUUGCAUUUUAUGGGAAAAAGGAUCAAAUCGUUUGAUUUCUCAUAAAGAUGUAAAUGAAUCUUUUGUUUACUAGUUUUACAAAAGAUUAGUGGGAGUUAAUCAUGUUCCUAAAAUUUAAAUAUAUAUGAUAUAUUAAUUUUGGAAAUGAAAAGAAUACUUCUUCGUUAAAGUUAUGACUUUAAUACAUUAUAUGAAGAUAGAAUGUAUAUGGGAGAUAUAGUCUAUAUACAUGGGAUGGAAAUCUAUAAUGAUAUAUUUCAUGAUAUAAUUGGAUUAUAUCAAUCUCUAAUAAUAGACAAUGGAUGCUAGGAAGUUUCUCAUAUGAUGAUAAACUUCAAUAAGAAGGACGAUUCUAGUGAGACUAGCAAGUUGCUCUUCUCAAAGGGAAUGUACCCUUUGACUCCCAAAGAAAUAAUACGUAAAUAGAAUCCUUUAUGCAUACGCAGAAAGGUGAUUUACGUAUUUCAUAUUGCAUGAAAAACAUUGAUAUGAGUUGUACCUAGAAUGGUACAAGACGAUAUCAAUGCAAGCUCAGGAUCAGAACCAUGGCAACUGUCAAGUGAGUCCUUAAGUAUUUGAGAAAUACUAAAGGAUAGAUUCCUCAAAGAAUGAGGAAGAAUUAGAGUAACGUAAUGGAAGCGUAAAUGUAUUA